rnacentral:lncRNA from 15 species
CACAGACACACUGAGAGACACUGAGAGACACAGACACACUGAGAGACACUGAGACACACAGACACACUGAGAGACACAGACAAGAUGAUAAUAUAUCUCUAACAAAGACUACUUUGUCUCUUUGUGUCUUUGUGUCUCUGUGUCUCAGAGUGAAGCAGGAGGUGCUGAAGGAGGUCCAGGGGAUGCUCGUCUCCUAUAAGGUCAUAGUGAGGAUGAUCGCCUCUGGCACCAUCGGAUCCAGUGAAGUGUCAUUGGAGCUUCCUUUCAAGCUGAUGCAUUCUAACCCUGAACCAGGUACAGGUCUUCCUCCUCUUCCUCUGGGUUUCUUUACUUCCCUGCUGACAAAUCAGAAGCUGUGUGUGUGUGUGUAAGCAGCUUGCUGUAUAUCGCUGACUGCAGUCAAUCAGCUCAACAACAACUUGAGUCACAUCCUGAAGAUUAACAGAUUAAUUACUGCUGAUCAAUACACAUUCACACACACACACACACACACACACACACACACACACACACGCGUCUGUGUGGACCCUCAGUGAUCCAUAAUCCUCCUCCAGACCUGAACCUGAAGCGCUUUAACCCUCCUGUAGAUGUGUAGGAAUAUUAUUGUUUUUUAUUAUAACUUCCAUUCAUAUGUUCAGUCUGAUAUUGAUUGAGUGAGAACAGGUUGUAUUAAUAUUAGUGCUGUCAAACGAUUAAAAUAUUUAAUCGCGAUUAGUCGCAUUAAUGUCAUAGUUAACUUGCAAUUAAUCGCACAUUUUUAUCUAUUCUAAAUGUCCCUUGAUUUCUUUUUGUCC